AGUGGGCAGAGGAGGGCACGGGGCUCCCGAGUCUGCUUCGGGUUGCUGGGCUUCUUCAUGGAACUUACAAAGUGUCUGGAGGAAGGGGGGGAUAAGGGGAGAAGCUGCACCCAGCCUCCCAACCGCCACAGUACCAGGGCUGGGGAACGGCCACCCGAUGUCAUCCCAGGGUCCCCAGUGUGGAGCAUGCUCCAAGGAUUCAUGUGCAGACUUUCAGAUGUCAAAUAUCAGCUUGGUCAAACAAGAAGAUAUAAUCAGAGAACAGAAACUAGGAAAUCUCAACAUGGCAUCUUAAGACCAUGGCUCUGAUUUCUUAAUACUUACC